rnacentral:rRNA from 1 species
AGAGUUUGAUCCUGGCUCAGAUUGAACGCUGGCGGCAUGCCUUACACAUGCAAGUCGAACGGCAGCACGGAGCUUGCUCUGGUGGCGAGUGGCGAACGGGUGAGUAAUAUAUCGGAACGUACCCUAGAGUGGGGGAUAACGUAGCGAAAGUUACGCUAAUACCGCAUACGGUCUACGGAUGAAAGUGGGGGAUCGCAAGACCUCAUGCUCAUGGAGCGGCCGAUAUCUGAUUAGCUAGUUGGUAGGGUAAAAGCCUACCAAGGCAUCGAUCAGUAGCUGGUCUGAGAGGACGACCAGCCACACUGGAACUGAGACACGGUCCAGACUCCUACGGGAGGCAGCAGUGGGGAAUUUUGGACAAUGGGCGAAAGCCUGAUCCAGCAAUGCCGCGUGAGUGAAGAAGGCCUUCGGGUUGUAAAGCUCUUUUGUCAGGGAAGAAACGGUUGUCUCUAAUACAGAUGGCUAAUGACGGUACCUGAAGAAUAAGCACCGGCUAACUACGUGCCAGCAGCCGCGGUAAUACGUAGGGUGCAAGCGUUAAUCGGAAUUACUGGGCGUAAAGCGUGCGCAGGCGGUUAUGUAAGACAGAUGUGAAAUGCCCGGGCUUAACCUGGGAACUGCAUUUGUGACUGCAUGGCUAGAGUUUGGCAGAGGGGGGUAGAAUUCCACGUGUAGCAGUGAAAUGCGUAGAUAUGUGGAGGAACACCGAUGGCGAAGGCAGCCCCCUGGGUCAAGACUGACGCUCAUGCACGAAAGCGUGGGGAGCAAACAGGAUUAGAUACCCUGGUAGUCCACGCCCUAAACGAUGUCUACUAGUUGUCGGGUCUUAAUUGACUUGGUAACGCAGCUAACGCGUGAAGUAGACCGCCUGGGGAGUACGGUCGCAAGAUUAAAACUCAAAGGAAUUGACGGGGACCCGCACAAGCGGUGGAUGAUGUGGAUUAAUUCGAUGCAACGCGAAAAACCUUACCUACCCUUGACAUGGCUGGAAUCCUUGAGAGAUUGAGGAGUGCUCGAAAGAGAACCAGUACACAGGUGCUGCAUGGCUGUCGUCAGCUCGUG